CAGGCAUGAGCCACCGCACCUGGCCAAGUUCUUAUUUCUCUAGGCUCUUGCAAUACAAUAUGUACUUCCUAUAGACACGUGUUCUCGGACAAGAAAUGAAGCUAUGGAAAAACCUGUCGGAGAGGGCUGGAGAACAGAUGGACACCCCCACCCGAGGUCAGAAAGGCAAGCUACACAGCCCUCCCCACACUUAUGUGGGGACCAAGAGUAGGGCCCUGCCCCUCUGGGCCUCUUGGGCUGGAAGAGUGCAGGCAGAAGGACUGAUGUCCAUUUUGACACUGCUUUUAAGCUCAGUAAAAAUCGAUUUAAAAUUGG